AUAUCAAUAAGCGGAGGAAAAGAAACCAACAAGGAUUCCCCUAGUAACGGCGAGUGAACCGGGAAAAGCUCAAAGUUUAAAUCGACGUUCCUUGCGGGGCGCCGAGAUGUAAGCUCGAGACGGAAGCCCAGCGACGACCCGGGUAUAAGCUCCUUGGAACAGAGUGUCAGAGAGGGUGAGAAUCCCGUCUUUGACUCGGAGAUCAUCGCGUACGGGAACCGGUCAGAGAGUCGUGUACCUUGGGAAUGGUGCACUAAAUGGGUGGUAAAUUCCAUCUAAAGCUAAAUAUCGAUGGGAGACCGAUAGCGCACAAGUA
rnacentral:rRNA from 1 species